GCCAAAGUGGCGGAAUGGCAGACGCGCUGGACUCAAAAUCCUGUGUCCGAAAGGACGUGUGGGUUCGACUCCCACCUUUGGUA
rnacentral:tRNA from 1 species